rnacentral:lncRNA from 1 species
UCCUCAUAACCAAUGAGUGUGGAGAUACUGGUAUGGCAUACAGGUGAGAUGUAAUGGUACAUCUGCACUGAAUGUGACCAACUCCGGAGCAAUUUCUGCUGUCAAGAUUUGCUCCGAUGGGAUAUGGGUAUAAAUGUCCCUCCGACCUGAGACCGCCAUGGUGACUUGCAAGCAACUCACUGCACUUAGGCACUGGACUACCUGAAUUUUUAAUUCAAUGACGGAAGGCUGCUGGGUGUAGUCAAGUACUUGACUUGUCGGUGCGUGUGUCAAGAUGGGAUUAACCACUCCAGUUUAGAAGCUGUGUACAGUCGUGUUUCAAUUUAGCAAAACCUUGGCCAGGGUAGUCCUAGUGAGGAGUCACAGGACUAAUUGAGUUGAGCAUGAUUCGGAUGAUAUCAUCAGGGUUGACAGUUUAACCCUGAGUCGUCCUAAACACAGGGGUCAAAAGGGAUGAAUUAUAUGGUAACCAUAUUCACGUAGGUUCUGAAUGUUGUGAUUGUGAUUAUUCGACCUAUCCGGUCAUCGGGUACCAUUGCUAGAUGGUCAUUUCGAUUAGUACAGAAAU